GUUAGGGGGCAGUGUUUCCCAGCACAGGAAAGAAGGAGAACAUUGGGGGCAGGAACAAUCCUCGUCCUCAAGGGAGGUGGAGAGAAUGUAGAUCUCUCUUCUUUCACCCCUUGCCCUUCCUGUGAAGGUGGAGAAAUAAAGAUGGCCACUGCAGGUCACUCUGCCGGAAAGUUUGAUGGAGAUCUGGAGGGAGAGAACGUGUCCUGCCUGGAGGGUCCUCUGAAUCUCCUGUGUAUCCCUAAGGAAUCCGACUUUGGCAGGGGAGAUCCAGGAACAGCAGGAAGAGAGAACUGACAACAAAAAACUUCUUAUUUCCUCCAUAGUAGAGAGAGAUUUGGACACAGAGCAGGACCGUCAUGUGAAGACAGGCACAGAAACUGGAGUGAUGCAGCCAUGCAUCAAAGGAUGCCAGGGGCUGACGGGAGCUACUAGAACCUAGGCAAUGGCCAGGAACGAUCCUCUCCUGCCGCCCCUGGAGUCUUCAGAGGGAGCAUGGCUCUACCAACACUUUGAUUUCGGACUCAGCCUUCACACCUAUAAGAAAAUAAAUUCCUAUUCUUUUAAGCCACCAAAUUUGUGAUCAUUUGUUACAGUAGCCUUAGGAAACUAAUACACUGCCCAAGAGUCUAAAUAUAAUAUAAAAAGGGAGGCUUUAAUUAAAAUCAAUUACCCAUCUUCCCCUAAAGGGGGAAUGAUGCUACUAAAGCCAUCAUGCCUUGUGAUUACCCUUGUGAUUCCCUUAGUCCAACACUCCUGGGCCUCCUUCCUCACACAGCUCUGUACAUAUUCUUAUUUGACUCUACCUCCCACCCUCUGACCCCCCACCCCCUCCCACUGUGUCCUCAGCCUCUUCUCUGAAUGUCCCUCUCACCGUUCUGCUCGGACUCACUCCUGAGGAUAUGGAGAUACCCCUCAUUGGGGCCCGAUGGUGGGGCAGGGGUCGGCUUUGCUCUUCAUGGCCACUCCUGGGCCAUCGUUCCUCCCUGGCCCUUCCUAACCAGCUCUGAGGGAUUGGCCAUCCAACCCCCAUAAACCUCCCAUGCUGGACCGGCCACCAAACCGCGGUCACUCCUCCCGUGCAGUGCAGAGUCCCGCCAAGUCACGUCCAUGCUCUUCACCACUCCUCUCCUCCCUCGUGCUGGUGGUCUGCUCAGACCAGUCAGCCCCAGCCCUGGCUGCCCUUUAAAAUUAUUUGGGAAACUUCUAAAAAACCUCAGGCACUCCC